GGGGAAUAUUGGACAAUGGGCGCAAGCCUGAUCCAGCCAUGCCGCGUGAGUGAUGAAGGCCUUAGGGUUGUAAAGCUCUUUCGACGGGGACGAUGAUGACGGUACCCGUAGAAGAAGCCCCGGCUAACUUCGUGCCAGCAGCCGCGGUAAUACGAAGGGGGCUAGCGUUGUUCGGAAUUACUGGGCGUAAAGCGCACGCAGGCGGUUCGAUCAGUCAGAAGUGAAAGCCCCGGGCUCAACCUGGGAACUGCUUUUGAUACUGUCGAGCUUGAAUCACGGAGAGGGUAGUGGAAUUCCGAGUGUAGAGGUGAAAUUCGUAGAUAUUCGGAAGAACACCAGUGGCGAAGGCGACUACCUGGCCGUCGAUUGACGCUCAUGUGCGAAAGCGUGGGGAGCAAAC
rnacentral:rRNA from 1 species